GACGAACGCUGGCGGCGUGCUUAACACAUGCAAGUCGAACGGUGAAGCGCCUUCCUUUUUGGUGGGUGUGGAUGAGUGGCGAACGGGUGAGUAACACGUGAGUAACCUGCCCCCUUCUUCUGGCUAACCGCAUGAAAGUGUGGCUAAUCCGGGAUAUUCUGGGUCUGUCGCAUGAUGGGUCUGGGAAAGUUAUUGUUUCGGUGGGGGAUGGGCUCGCGGCCUAUCAGCUUGUUGGUGGGGUGAUGGCCUACCAAUGCGGUGACGGGUAGCCGGCCUGAGCGGGUGGACUGUCAGGCUGGGACUGAUGCACGGCCCAGACUCGUACGGGAGGCAGCAGUGGGUAAUAUUGGACGAAGGGCGCAAGCCUGAUGCAGCGACGCCGCGAGAGUGAUGGAGGCCUUCGGGUUGAGAACCGCUGUCGUUAGUGAAGCAAGCCUGCUUCGUGUGUGAUUGGGUUGACGGUAGCUGGAUAAGAAGCGCCGGCUAACUACGUG
rnacentral:rRNA from 1 species